rnacentral:lncRNA from 1 species
AAAGUGGGCGGUCCCGGCGGGGGUCGGCCCGGCCCCAACCACAGAGCGGCGGUGCCUCCGGCGUCCUAGAGCGGCCGCGGGCAGCCGGCGCUGGGCCGGGGUCCUGGGGCUAGUCUCGCGGGUCCUGAGCUCCGCCGCCUGCUUCCGGUCCUGGAAGAUGCCGGCGGUCUUUCGCUCGGGGACGCUGGCCCCGAGUCCUCUCGUCAGGUGGCGACGCCCAGGCGGGGCGGCUCCCUCUGAGGAGUCGGGUUCCGCCUGUUAGGCCCCCGCGGCCUCCGCCUCGAGCCUCCUCCAGCCGCGGAGACGAGCUUGUCUGCGGCGGGCCGGCGGGCGGAGGGCGCGCCUGUGGGCGCCGCGUGGGUAACGAGGCCCCGCGCCCAGGAGGGCCGGCUCCCGGGCCGGGCGCGCUCCGUCUCGUGUCGCCUGACUUCGGGCGGCCUGUAAAUGCUUGGAGAUUGCGUGCUGUGCGGCAAUCAACACUGCAAGGCGCCUGCAAUGCUGCGAGGCGAUGAAGCGGGCAGCUGAUUUUGGUCCUGAUCGGUUUUUACUUAUACUAAAGCACCACGCAGUUUCUGUCUCCUGUUGGAUCAAAACAAGAUGUUUUUGAAAAGCCAAAUAAAACAGUAUCCUAUCUCUGUGGUUUCUCA